rnacentral:rRNA from 1 species
UACGUAGGGGCAAGCGUUGUCCGGAUUUAUUGGGCGUAAAGAGCGUGUAGGCGGCUUGGUAGGUCCGCUGUGAAAACUCGAGGCUCAACCUCGAGAUGGUCGGCGGAAACCACUUGGCUAGAGUCCGGAAGAGGAGAGUGGAAUUCCCCGGUGUAGCGGUGAAAUGCGCAGAUAUCGGGAAGAACACCUAUGGCGAAGGCAGCUCUCUGGGACGGUACUGACGCUGAGACGCGAAAGCGUGGGGAGCGAACAGG